UGCCUGGAAUUCACUCUACAUGUAGCCUAGAAAGGUUUAUACACUUAAGAGCAGUCUAUAGAGUUGGGAAUAAAGGUUGGUGAUAGAGUGCUUGUCUACCACACACAAGAUGAUGGUUCAAGUUUCUACCCACAGGUUUCCCAGGAGAACAAAAUUGUGGUGAUAGAGAAGUGAAGUCUAAAAAUGUCUGGAAUAUGUUGAGUAUCUUAUACACUACAAUGGAUUUUGAUCCCACCCUCCCCACUCCCUCCAGCCACAAGUCCUCUCACAACCCUCUACCGCUUUCCCUUACCACGUUUAUGCACUAUUUGUAAAACAUACUCUAUGUUCGAUGGAUUCAGUUCUAAGGCAGCAAAACUUUAGUUGUCAACUCGUCUUGCACACACAACUCCCUGGGUUUGAUUCUGAGCACAAC
rnacentral:sRNA from 1 species